GACGAACGCUGGCGGCGUGCUUAACACAUGCAAGUCGAACGGUGAAGCGCCUUCCUUUUUGGUGGGUGUGGAUGAGUGGCGAACGGGUGAGUAACACGUGAGUAACCUGCCUCCUUCUUCUGGAUAACCGCAUGAAAGUGUGGCUAAUACGGGAUAUUCUGGGUCUGUCGCAUGAUGGGUCUGGGAAAGAUAUUGUUUCGGUGGGGGAUGGGCUCGCGACCUCUCAGCUUGUUGGUGGGGUGAUGGCCUACCAAGGCGGUGACGGGUAGCCGGCCUGAGAGGGUGGACGGUCACACUGGGACUGAGACACGGCCCAGACUCCUACGGGAGGCAGCAGUGGGGAAUAUUGCACAAUGGGCGCAAGCCUGAUGCAGCGACGCCGCGUGAGGGAUGGAGGCCUUCGGGUUGUGAACCUCUUUCGCCAGUGAAGCAGGCCUGCCUCGUUUGUGGGUGGGUUGACGGUAGCUGGAUAAGAAGCGCCGGCUAACUACGUG
rnacentral:rRNA from 1 species